rnacentral:piRNA from 1 species
UGGAGUCAGGAAUAGGCCCGUCAGC